rnacentral:rRNA from 1 species
CGGGACGGGUGAGUAAUGUCUGGGAAACUGCCUGAUGGAGGGGGGUAACUACUGGAAACGGUAGCUAAUACCGCAUAACGUCGCAAGACCAAAGAGGGGGACCUCGGGCCUCUUGCCAUCGGAUGUGCCCAGAUGGGAUUAGCUAGUAGGUGGGGUAACGGCUCACCUAGGCGACGAUCCCUAGCUGGUCUGAGAGGAUGCCAGCCACACUGGAACUGAGACACGGUCCAG